AUUUAGAGGAAGUAAAAGUCGUAACAAGGUUUCCGUAGGUGAACCUGCGGAAGGAUCAUUAUUGAAAUAAACUUGGUGUAGGUUGCAGCUGGCCCUUUUGGGCAUGUGCUCGCCUUCAUCAUAUUUAUAUUUCCACCUGUGCACCUUCUGUAGACAAGAAAGAAAAAGGGAUUUAUUGUGGUGUCAUUCUGGCCCCGUUUAUUCUUUGUGUAUUUCUUGUCUAUGUUUUUUUAUAUACCCCAAAAAAUGUAACAGAAUGUUAAUCUAUGGGCCUUUGUGCCUAUAAACAAAAAAUUAUACAACUUUCAGCAACGGAUCUCUUGGCUCUCGCAUCGAUGAAGAACGCAGCGAAAUGCGAUAAGUAAUGUGAAUUGCAGAAUUCAGUGAAUCAUCGAAUCUUUGAACGCACCUUGCGCUCCUUGGUAUUCCGAGGAGCAUGCCUGUUUGAGUGUCAUUAAAUUCUCAAAAAAAGAACCUUUGGUAGUAUUAUCAAUGGCUUUUUCUUUGGAUGUGAGGGUUUUAUUGUUGGCGAAAGUCAACUCCCUUGAAAUGAAUUAGCUUGGUUGACAAGACUUUGUCUAUUGGUGUGAUAAUUAUCUACGCCAUUGGAUUGUCUGUUUGUUGAACUGCUUCUAAUUGUCCCUUUUGGGACUAUUAAAUGACCAUUUGACCUCAAAUCAGGUAGGACUACCCGCUGAACUUAAGCAUAUCAAUAAG
rnacentral:rRNA from 1 species